UACAGAGGUCCCAAGCGUUGUUCGGAUUCACUGGGCGUAAAGGGUGCGUAAGUGGCCAGGUAAGUUCGGUGUGAAAGCUCGGAGCUUAACUCCGAAAUGGCAUUGAAUACUAUCUGGCUAGAGGGUCGGAGGGGAGACUGGAAUUCUCGGUGUAGCAGUGAAAUGCGUAGAUAUCGUAAGGAACACCAGGAGCGAAAGCGGCUUACUGGGCGUUUUCUGACGCUGAGGCACGAAAGCCAGGGGAGCGAACGGG
rnacentral:rRNA from 1 species